rnacentral:rRNA from 1 species
AUUGAACGCUGGCGGCAGGCUUAACACAUGCAAGUCGAGCGAGCGGCGGACGGGUGAGUAAUGUCUGGGAAACUGCCUGGUGGCGGGGGAUAACUACUGGAAACGGUAGCUAAUACCGCAUACCAUCAGAUGUGCCCGGAUGGGAUUAGCUAGUAGGUGGGGUAAGGGCUCACCUAGGCGCCGAUCCCUAGCUGGUCUGAGAGGAUGACCAGCCACACGCGAACAGAGACACGGGCAAGACUCACACGGGAGGCACCAGUGGGGAACAUUGCACAAUGGGCGCAAGCCUGCUGCAGACAUGCCCCGUGUGUGAAGAAGGCCUUCGGGUUGUAAAGCACUUUCAGCGAGGAGGCGUUACGCGCAGAAGAAGCACCGGCUAACUCCGUGCCAGCAGCCGCGGUAAUAC